AGCAGCCGCGGUAAUUCCAGCUCCAAUAGCGUAUAUUAAAGUUGUUGCAGUUAAAAAGCUCGUAGUUGAAUUUCGGGAUCAACACGUCGGUCGUGCCUUCGGUACGCACUAGCGUCGUUGGUUCCUCCCUUCUGACGAACCAUGAUGUCAUUAACUUGGUGUUUUGGGGAGUUAGGACUGUUACUUUGAAAAAAUUAGAGUGUUUAAAGCAGGCAAUCGCUUGAAUACAUUAGCAUGGAAUAAUGAAAUAGGACGUUCGAUCCUAUUUCGUUGGUUUCUAGGAUCAACGUAAUGAUUAAUAGGGAUAGUUGGGGGCAUUAGUAUUCAAUUGUCAGAGGUGAAAUUCUUGGAUUUAUUGAAGACUAACUACUGCGAAAGCGUUUGCCAAGGAUGUUUUCAUUAAUCAAGAACGAAAGUUAGGGGAUCGAAGACGAUCAGAUACCGUCGUAGUCUUAACCAUAAACUAUGCCGACUAGGG
rnacentral:rRNA from 1 species